GACGAACGCUGGCGGCGUGCUUAACACAUGCAAGUCGAACGGAAAGGCCCUGCUUUUGUGGGGUGCUCGAGUGGCGAACGGGUGAGUAACACGUGAGUAACAUGCCCUUGACUUUGGGAUAACUUCAGGAAACUGGGGCGAAUACCGGAUAGGAGCUCCUGCUGCAUGGUGGGGGUUGGAAAGUUUCGGCGGUUGGGGAUGGACUCGCGGCUUAUCAGCUUGUUGGUGGGGUAGUGGCUUACCAAGGCUUUGACGGGUAGCCGGCCUGAGAGGGUGACCGGCCACAUUGGGACUGAGAUACGGCCCAGACUCCUACGGGAGGCAGCAGUGGGGAAUCUUGCACAAUGGGCGGAAGCCUGAUGCAGCAACGCCGCGUGCGGGAUGACGGCCUUCGGGUUGUAAACCGCUUUCGCCUGUGACGAAGCGUGAGUGACGGUAAUGGGUAAAGAAGCACCGGCUAACUACGUG
rnacentral:rRNA from 1 species